rnacentral:rRNA from 1 species
CAGCAGCCGCGGUAAUACAGAGGGGGCAAGCGUUGUUCGGAAUUAUUGGGCGUAAAGGGUGCGUAGGCGGUUUGACAAGUCUUAUGUGAAAUCUUCGGGCUCAACCCGAAGCCUGCAUGGGAAACUGUCGAGCUUGAGUAUGGGAGAGGUGAGUGGAAUUUCCGGUGUAGCGGUGAAAGGCGUAGAUAUAGGAAGGAACAUCAGUGGCGAAGGCGACCACCUGGACUGAUACUGACACUGAGGUGCGAAAGCGUGGGGAGCAAACAGGAUUAGAUACCCCUGUAGUCCCUGUCUCUUAUAA